UACGAAGGGGGCGAGCGUUGUUCGGAAUCACUGGGCGUAAAGGGCGCGUAGGCGGCCGAUCAAGUCAGAUGUGAAAGUCCUGGGCUUAACCUGGGGACUGCAUUUGAUACUGAUUGGCUUGAAUGCAGGAGAGGAUAGCGGAAUUCCCAGUGUAGAGGUGAAAUUCGUAGAUAUUGGGAAGAACACCGGUGGCGAAGGCGGCUAUCUGGACUGUGAUUGACGCUGAGGCGCGAAAGCGUGGGGAGCAAACAGG
rnacentral:rRNA from 1 species